GAUGAACGCUAGCGGCAGGCCUAAUACAUGCAAGUCGAACGGUGUCUUCGGACAUAGUGGCGCACGGGUGCGUAACACGUAUGCAACCUACCUUACAUUGGGGGAUAGCCUUUCGAAAGGGAGAUUAAUACCGCAUAAGACAGUAGCUGGGCAUCCAGCAGCUGUCAAAGAUUUAUCGAUGUAAGCUGGGCAUGCGUCCAAUUAGCUAGUUGGUGAGGUAACGGCUCACCAAGGCAAUGAUUGGUAGGGGAACUGAGAGGUCAAUCCCCCACACUGGCACUGGGAUACGGGCCAGACUCCUACGGGAGGCAGCAGUAGGGAAUAUUGGGCAAUGGACGCAAGUCUGACCCAGCCAUGCCGCGUGCAGGAUGAAGGCGUUAUGCGUUGUAAACUGCUUUUAUACAGGAAGAAACUACUCUUGCGAGAGGCAUUGACGGUACUGUAUGAAUAAGCACCGGCUAACCCCGUGCCAGCAGCCGCCGUAA
rnacentral:rRNA from 1 species